GAUGAACGCUGGCGGCGUGCCUAAUACAUGCAAGUCGAGCGAACGGACGAGAAGCUUGCUUCUCUGAUGUUAGCGGCGGACGGGUGAGUAACACGUGGAUAACCUACCUAUAAGACUGGGAUAACUUCGGGAAACCGGAGCUAGCACCGGAUGAUAUUUUGAACCGCAUGGUUCAAAAGUGAAAGACGGUCUUGCUGUCACUUAUAGAUGGAUCCGCGCUGCACUAGCUAGUUGGUAAGGUAACGGCUUACCAAGGCAACGAUGCAUAGCCGACCUGAGAGGGUGAUCGGCCACACUGGAACUGAGACACGGUCCAGACUCCUACGGGAGGCAGCAGUAGGGAAUCUUCCGCAAUGGGCGAAAGCCUGACGGAGCAACGCCGCGUGAGUGAUGAAGGUCUUCGGAUCGUAAAACUCUGUUAUUAGGGAAGAACAUAUGUGUAAGUAACUGUGCACAUCUUGACGGUACCUAAUCAGAAAGCCACGGCUAACUACGUG
rnacentral:rRNA from 1 species